CGGGCUUAAAUUGCAAAUGAAUGUUCUGGAAACAGAUCAGCCGCAAGGCAUUUGUGA
rnacentral:rRNA from 1 species